CGUCAUUGUUGAUCCAUCGCCUCUUUGCAAGACAAGGGGAGGAAAGUCCGGGCAGCGCAGUGCAUCUUGCUUCCUAACGGGAAGGAUCCCACUUAGUGGGAGACAGCCAGUGCCACAGAAAAUAACUAUCCGCCGAAGAGGCGGAAAAAGGUGAAAACGUGAGGUAAGAGCUCACGCUGAUCGGUAGCGAUACAGGUCAGGGGUAAACCUCAGGAGCUGAAAGACCAAAUAAGUCAUGGUUAAGGGCUGCACGUCCGAACUCCUUCGGGAAACCAUGAUGGGUAGGUUGAUUGAGGUGAUGUGUGAAUAUCAUCCCAGAUAAAUGAUGGAUUCCG
rnacentral:RNase_P_RNA from 1 species